rnacentral:rRNA from 1 species
UACGGAGGGGGCUAGCGUUGUUCGGAAUUACUGGGCGUAAAGCGCACGUAGGCGGCUUUGCAAGUUAGAGGUGAAAGCCCGGGGCUUAACCCCGGAAUUGCCUUUAAAACUGCAUCGCUAGAAUUGUGGAGAGGUGAGUGGAAUUCCGAGUGUAGAGGUGAAAUGCGCAGAUAUCAGGAGGAACACCGGUGGCGAAGGCGGGUCUCUGGGCCGAUAUUGACGCUGAGGAGCGAAAGCGUGGGGAGCGAACAGG